CAAUGCCAUUUGGUAUCUGACAUGUGAUCUUCUUUUGUGACAACUUGUCUCGAAAUAUGGCAUAUACCAAAGGGGGAACGGAUCUUGCGACAUUGGUUGCUCCUCUAUGAGCCUCCAAUUACUAUAUAGCCGUUUACAUCU
rnacentral:snoRNA from 1 species